UACCCAUAGAUGAACAUGGGUUGACCAACCAAAGUUGGGCUUGUGUGUAGUCUGUAUGGAUUUUAGUACCCACUAAGGAAUUAAAGUAAUUCCUCGAAUUGGAGGUUGAGGCUACCAAUUCGUAAAAAUAUUGGGAGAAACUUUAGACUAAAGUCCAAAUCUUUAGUAUUAAUAAUUUAUGUACUAAUAUAGAUCUGAUUUUUCUUUAUGCAGC
rnacentral:lncRNA from 1 species